rnacentral:tRNA from 1 species
GUCCCCAUCGUCUAGAGGCCCAGGACACCGCCCUUUCACGGCGGCAACACGGGUUCGAAUCCCGUUGGGGACGCCA